AUGCGGCGCGACCGCCCCGAGCUCGCGCACCAGUCCUUCAACGCGCGGGCACGGACCUACAUCCAGGAAUCGGGCGUGGUCGAGCUGGUCAAGUGGUUCAAGCACAACUCGUUGACAUAUCCCCAGAUUGCGAAAGUAGUCUGCUCCUGUUCUGGUGAUCUGGAGAAAGUGAGAAGGAUGCUAAAGUGGUUGAGAUCAAUUUAUGUGAAAGGAGAAUUUUUGGGACGUGUGCUUGCGAAGGGUGAAUCCCUUAUGAGUCGCAGUUUUGAAGAAUUGGAAGAGAUUACUGGCUAUCUGGAAUGCUGUGGUGUUAGGAGAGACUGGAUUGGUCACGUGGUCAGUAGAUGUCCACAGCUAUUGAAUUUGUCCUUGGAUGAGUUAGAGACACGAGUGCAAUUUUAUACAGAUAUGGGAAUGAAUGAGAAUGACUUCGGCACUAUGGUCUAUGAUUAUCCAAAAGUUCUCGGGUUUUUCAGCCUAGAAGAGAUGAACAGUAAGGUUCAAUAUCUGAAAGAGUUUGGUUUGAGCACAGAAGAACUUGGAAAAAUGCUGGCUUAUAAGCCACAGCUCAUGGCCUGCAGCAUUGAAGAAAGGUGGAAGCCACUUGUGAAGUACCUAUAUCAUCUAAACAUUUCACGGGAUGGUAUGAAGCGUAUGUUGGUGGUCCAACCUACGAUUUUCUGUCUUGAUUUAGAGACAGUAAUUGCACCAAAGGUACGAUUUCUACAGGAUAUUGGUGUGAGGAAUGAUGCAGUCGGCAAUGUGCUUGUGAAGUUCCCCCCUGUACUAACUUAUAGUCUGUACAGGAAGUUACGCCCAGUGGUUAUAUUCCUGAGGACAAAAGCUGGAGUAACAGAGGAUGACAUUGGGAAGGUCAUUGCAUUGGACCCGCAGCUCAUGGGCUGCAGCAUCGUACACAAACUGGAAGCCAGCGUCAAGUACUUCCGGACACUGGGCAUCUACCACUUGGUGCUCGGCCAGAUGGUUGCCGACUUCCCGACGCUUCUCCGAUACAAUGUGGAUGUUCUACGUUCAAAAUACCAGUACCUCAGGCGUGUCAUGGUACGGCCGCUGAAAGAUCUUAUCGAGUUUCCCCGGUUUUUCAGUUACUCUUUGGAGCAUAGGAUAGAGCCUCGGCACAAGGUUCUGGUGGCCAACAGGAUAAACAUGAGGCUGCGGUACAUGCUGCCUGGUUCCGAUGAGGAGUUUGCGCAGAGGGUGCAAGAGGCCGUCGAGAGGAGGGCGAGAUUCGAAGCCGGAGAGGCUACUCCGGAGACAUCAGGUGCGCCCGAAACACCCAGCAGCAAUGGAAAUGGCGUAGCAGCAGUAGCCUGUCAAGAGAUGGAGGCAGUACCUUGCAAGAAACAAGAAUUCCAUGUCCCUGACUUGUAG
rnacentral:rRNA from 1 species